rnacentral:rRNA from 1 species
GUGAGGAAUAUUGGUCAAUGGACGGAAGUCUGAACCAGCCAUGCCGCGUGCAGGAAUAAGGUCCUAUGGAUUGUAAACUGCUUUUAUUCGGGAAUAAACCUCUUUACGUGUAGGGAGCUGAAGGUACCGAAGGAAUAAGCACCGGCUAACUCCGUGCCAGCAGCCGCGGUAAUGCGGAGGGUGCAAGCGUUAUCCGGAAUCAUUGGGUUUAAAGGGUCCGCAGGCGGGCUAUCAAGUCAGAGGUGAAAUCCCACAGCUUAACUGUGGAACUGCCGUUGAAACUGAUGGUCUUGAAUUAAGUGGGCGUUGGCGGAAUAUGACAUGUAGCGGUGAAAUGCAUAGAUAUGUCAUGGAACACCGAAAGCGAAGGCAGCUAACGAUACUUAUAUUGACGCUCAUGGACGAAAGCGUGGGUAGCGAACAGGAUUAGAAACCCUAGUAGUCC